rnacentral:rRNA from 2 species
AGCGCAACCCUUAUCCUUUGUUGCCAGCGGUUAGGCCGGGAACUCAAAGGAGACUGCCAGUGAUAAACUGGAGGAAGGUGGGGAUGACGUCAAGUCAUCAUGGCCCUUACGACCAGGGCUACACACGUGCUACAAUGGCGCAUACAAAGAGAAGCGACCUCGCGAGAGCAAGCGGACCUCAUAAAGUGCGUCGUAGUCCGGAUUGGAGUCUGCAACUCGACUCCAUGAAGUCGGAAUCGCUAGUAAUCGUGGAUCAGAAUGCCACGGUGAAUACGUUCCCGGGCCUUGUACACACCGCCCGUCACACCAUGGGAGUGGGUUGCAAAAGAAGUAGGUAGCUUAACCUUCGGGAGGGCGCUUACCACUUUGUGAUUCAUGACUGGGGUGAAGUCGUAACAAGGUAACCGUAGGGGAACCUGC